CGACCUGAGAGGGUGAUCGGCCACAUUGGGACUGAGACACGGCCCAAACUCCUACGGGAGGCAGCAGUAGGGAAUCUUCGGCAAUGGACGAAAGUCUGACCGAGCAACGCCGCGUGAGUGAAGAAGGUUUUCGGAUCGUAAAACUCUGUUGUUAGAGAAGAACAAGGAUGAGAGUAACUGUUCAUCCCUUGACGGUAUCUAACCAGAAAGCCACGGCUAACUACGUGCCAGCAGCCGCGGUAAUACGUAGGUGGCAAGCGUUGUCCGGAUUUAUUGGGCGUAAAGUGAGCGCAGGCGGUUUCUUAAGUCUGAUGUGAAAGCCCCCGGCUCAACCGGGGAGGGUCAUUGGAAACUGGGAGACUUGAGUGCAGAAGAGGAGAGUGGAAUUCCAUGUGUAGCGGUGAAAUGCGUAGAUAUAUGGAGGAACACCAGUGGCGAAGGCGGCUCUCUGGUCUGUAACUGACGCUGAGGCUCGAAAGCGUGGGGAGCAAACAGGAUUAGAUACCCUGGUAGUCCACGCCGUAAACGAUGAGUGCUAAGUGUUGGAGGGUUUCCGCCCUUCAGUGCUGC
rnacentral:rRNA from 1 species